rnacentral:ncRNA from 20 species
UUGCACAACUAGGCAAUAGGUUCGUUUACGAGCGAUUAAAAGGGAAUUGGGUGAAAAUCCCGAACAGUCCCGCUGCUGUAAGUAACCUUUACUGGCCACAAACACUGCGCCACUGAACUCCGUCAAGGGAAAUUCGGGAAGGCGUUUGUGGCCGGGUUACAAAGUCAGAAGACCUGCCAUUGCCAUUUAUCUUUAA